UGCUCAGAAGUAUGUGGAGCGGGUUGACACAAAAGAAGACCAUGUCAUAGUUUAUUUAACAGAGAUUCCAAAAGAUAUUUCUAUGAAUUACAAGAUGCAAAUGAAACAAGUUCUUCCAGUGAAGAAUCUCAAGCCAGCAGUGGUCAAAGUGUAUGAUUACUACCAAACAAGUGAUCAGUCUGAGACAGAGUACUCCUUCCACUGUCAAUGAGGUCAUGCCCUUCAAUUCUGCAGCUCAUAAUACAGUAUGAGCAGUUAUUUUCAGUGCCAUUGGUUUAUUUCAUGUGCAUUUUCAAAUGUGUACUCAGUGGCACUCACAAUUUUGUUUGUAAUUUGUUCUUGUCUUUUAACAGAACAUGUUUGAUCUUAUCAUAGAAAAUAAAUCAUUUUAAUGUUGUAAAAAUAAUGAAACCACCAAAAUAUUGUACAAUAAACUGUAACGUUUUCAGAGCAUCCCAGGAAAAUGCUGCUCUAUAAAUCUAUGCUGCCUUCAAAAAUCGAUCAGGUGAAGGAGACAGGAAGUGAAGCUGACAUUGGAUUCAGACAUGCCUUAUUGCUUUCCUACUUUGUAAUGCAUCCUCCGAAGGUGGCAUCUUUCAGCUUUCGGGUGCAGCCAGGGAGAAGGGGGGACUAAGACGCGAGGAGAAGAAGCAAAGAAAGGAAACAAGGAGGCACGAAUAAGAAA